rnacentral:tRNA from 1 species
UCAGGUAGAUUAAUAAUUAAUUUACAAUUAGUUUUUAUUCAAAAAUAAAUUUGAAUUAUCUGAG